rnacentral:rRNA from 1 species
CGUGGAGACAGGUGGUGCAUGGCUGUCGUCAGCUCGUGUCGUGAGAUGUUGGGUUAAGUCCCGCAACGAGCGCAACCCUCACCCCUAGUUGCCACCGGGUAAAGCCGAGCACUCGAGGGGAACUGCCAGCGUCAAGCUGGAGGAAGGCGGGGAUGACGUCAAGUCAUCAUGCCCCUUACGCCCUGGGCUACACACGUGCUACAAUGGCCAGUACAAAGGGACGCGAGACCGCGAGGUGGAGCUAAUCCCAAAAAACCGUUCUCAGUUCGGAUCGGAGUCUGCAACUCGACUCCGUGAAGUUGGAAUCGCUAGUAAUCGUGGAUCAGCAUGCCACGGUGAAUACGUUCCCGGGCCUUGUACACACCGCCCGUCACACCACGAAAGUCUGCUGUACUCGAAGUCGCUGAG